GCGUCAUUUGCUAGCUCCGCCCUUGGUGUGUGUAGGUUCUGAUUAAAGCUGGAUUUUCAUCUGCUUUGCGGUGGUGUGUGGGGCUGCCAUUAUUCCCAGCUGGGUUUGAGUUAAUUCAUCUUCAAAUAAACUGGCUUCUGAGCAGGGAGGCUAGUUCUCGUACCCUGGUGGUGGCAUUUGGAGCACAAAGUGUGGCGUGUGUGUGUGAUCACUCAUUUAAUUGUGUGUGUGUGUGGGUCAAGAAUAAUCACUCUACGGCUGGCCUACCCUGCUACUGUUAGGCCUUCGUCAUUUUAGUUAUGUAUGUGGUGUAAUGAGUUGUAGUUGUUUAACCCAUUGAGUUAUAUCUUAGCCUGGUCAUUUUAAAGUGUCUUAUCUGAUUGUUGUGAACUUAAUAAACAUUUUGUAUUAUGAUGCCCAUGUCUCUGCCCUCCAUAGUAACGAACCUGU